ACGGCCGCCGCUGCCCGUGGCAUCUCCKCAGGCCGCGGGGGAGCGCGAGGCGGCCACUCCCCGCGAAGCAGCGGUUGCGACUUCUCGCUUGGCCUCUUCCCCUCGGCUUGGCCGGGCCGCCUGGGACGCGAGCGGCGCCGAUGAAUAACGCGCUGGCAACUGGAGAAGAAAAACCAGCAGCCGGAUCUCCCCUGGUUUCCUCCGCAGGACGUCCCGCGCUCGCGGGCGCCUCGGCCCACGGGCUGGAGCCGCGGCUCUGGGGAUCGCUCGGAGCGGAGCCGGCUGGGCGUCCGGCGACACACACACUGGCUUUCGCCCGUCGGUGCAGUCGCGGCGCGCGGGCUCUCCGAGGUACCGAGGCACCUGUUUGACCAGGCACUGAAGAUCCCCCACCCCAUGGGAGCCUCAAGGCUGCAGUGCCGGYGCGAAGGGGUGGCAGCCGUCGCAGCAGAGCAGCGCGCUCGUGGCCCGGCCGGAGGAGCCGCUGGUUUUGAGGUGACCCGGGGCUGGGACACGACGGGAGGUUGCUUUAUUUUUUUCCUGAAUUCAGUAAAGGUUGCUAUGUGUCACGUCGUGGCGUUCCUUCCCUGAACAGGAGGGCGAUUUUCCAGGACUGUGCAGAGGAGAUAGCGAAGAGGAAAUGCAGGGGAAGCUCGGUCUCCUUGCGGUGGGUCAGUGUGGAGUUUGGGGGAAAAGGUGCUGAAAGGCCGGUGUCCCGACUUGGACAAAAUCGAAAUUGCGGUGCGUCGUCCGUGGGGUGCGGUGGUUCCCGUGGUGGGACACGUGUGCUUCUGGUGAUGGAGAAGAACAGCAGACGGUUGGACUUUUCAGUUCCGUGCUUUUAUUUCUCUGCACCGAGUGAGCUUUGUGUAAGCCCAGGUUAUACGACAGGCAAGCGCGGAGUUGUAGCUAUGGUUGUAUAGGGCUUUAUGUGGUCCUGUAGCAUUUACGUGAGGCUGACUCUGACGGCGACUGUAGCCUACCGAUGAGUUGAGGGUUUAUGACUGGAAAAC
rnacentral:lncRNA from 1 species